AUACGUAGGGGGCGAGCGUUGUCAGGAAUGAUUGGGCGUAAAGGGCGCGUAGGCGGCCCGGUAAGUCUGGAGUGAAAGUCCUGUUUUUAAGAUGGGAAUUGCUUUGGAUACUGUCGGGCUUGAGUGCAGGAGAGGUAAGUGGAAUUCCCAGUGUAGCGGUGAAAUGCGUAGAGAUUGGGAGGAACACCAGUGGCGAAGGCGACUUACUGGACUGUAACUGACGCUGAGGCGCGAAAGUGUGGGGAGCAAACAGGAUUAGAUACCCUGGUAGUCCACACUGUAAACGAUGAAUGCUAGGUGUAGGGGGUAUCGACCCCUUCUGUGCCGCAGUCAACACAAUAAGCAGGCCGCCUGGGGAGUACGGCCGCAAGGUUGAAACUCAAAUGAAUUGACGGGG
rnacentral:rRNA from 1 species